UACGAGGGGGGCAAAUGUUGUUCGGAAUCACUGGGCGUAAAGGGAGCGUAGGCGGGCUUCUAAGUUAGGUGUUUAAUCCCGGGGCCCAACCCCGGUCAGGCACCUAAAACUGGGAGUCUUGAAUAGUGGAGAGGUCAGUGGAAUUGGAGGUGUAGCGGUGGAAUGCGUAGAGAUCUCCAAGAACACCAGUUGCGAAGGCGGCUGACUGGACACAUAUUGACGCUGAGGCUCGAAAGCAUGGGGAGCAAACAGG
rnacentral:rRNA from 1 species